GGGUGUGGCUUAGUUGGUAGAGUGUUUGCCCAGCAUGCAGAAAACCCUGGGUUCCAUUCCCAACACACCCA
rnacentral:tRNA from 1 species